rnacentral:lncRNA from 1 species
CCCACCUCUCCCUCUCUGUCCCUGGGCUGUCCCUACUUAUCUCCAUUCCACCCCUGCUCCCUCAGAGGCUGCCAGCUGCUUGCUGCCUGAUCACCUUUAAGCUGCCCUUCCCACUUCUUGGCCCAGCAGCUCCUGUCCAUCAAUAUGCUCUCAGCUCUCAUGACACUUCCUCUGAGAAGCCCAUUCUGACUGCCACCUAGGAACACCCUGACCCUCUCUCUCCUCUGUUUCCUCAACCAUUUCUGAAUUCAUCCUAUUUCUUCAUCAGUUUACUUGUCCUUGCUCAGUCUCUCCUUCUAGACUGUGGGCUCCAAGAGGGUAGGGGGCCUUCCUUGUGCUCACUGUUGUCUCCCCAGCUCCCCCAGGAUUGGAAAGGAGGGCUUGGGAGCUGUGGAAAAGUCAUAGGGUGAGGAUAUAAUGAGAAGUGGGUCAACUGCAACCUGAGGGAGGGCCCUCACCAUAUCCUGCCAUCCUGGUCCCCUGAUCUUGGCCUGCCAGCCUCCAGAUCUGUGAGAAAUCAGUUUCUGAUGUUUCAAAGCCACACCGUUGAAGGUCGUAGUUACAACUGCCUCCACUGAUUCAGACCUGGGCAAUGUGAGCCAGGCUUGGGUACUGCACUCUGG